rnacentral:rRNA from 1 species
AUUGAACGCUGGCGGCAAGCCUAACACAUGCAAGUCGAACGAGUGGCGGACGGGUGAGUAAUGUCUGGGAAACUGCCUGAUGGAGGGGGAUAACUACUGGAAACGGUAGCUAAUACCGCAUACCAUCGGAUGUGCCACGAUGGGAUUAGCUAGUAGGUGGGGUAAAGUCUCAACUAGGCGACGAUCACUAGCUGGUCUGAGAGGAUGACCAGCCACAUGUGAACUGAGACACGGUCCUGACUCCUACGGGGGGCAGCAGUGGGAAAUAUUGCACAAUGGGCGCCAGCCUGAUGCAGCCAUGCCGCGUUGAUUAAGAAGGCCUUCGGGUUGUAAAGUACUUUCAGCGGGGAGGCGUUACCCGCAGAAGAAGCACCGGCUAACUACGUGCCAGCCGCCGCGGUAAUAC